AGUGAACGCUGGCGGUAGGCCUAACACAUGCAAGUCGAACGGCAGCACAGUAAGAGCUUGCUCUUACGGGUGGCGAGUGGCGGACGGGUGAGGAAUACAUCGGAAUCUACUUUUUCGUGGGGGAUAACGUAGGGAAACUUACGCUAAUACCGCAUACGACCUACGGGUGAAAGCAGGGGAUCUUCGGACCUUGCGCGAUUGAAUGAGCCGAUGUCGGAUUAGCUAGUUGGCGGGGUAAAGGCCCACCAAGGCGACGAUCCGUAGCUGGUCUGAGAGGAUGAUCAGCCACACUGGAACUGAGACACGGUCCAGACUCCUACGGGAGGCAGCAGUGGGGAAUAUUGGACAAUGGGCGCAAGCCUGAUCCAGCCACACCGCGUGGGUGAAGAAGGCCUUCGGGUUGUAAAGCCCUUUUGUUGGGAAAGAAAAGCAGCAGGUUAAUACCUCGCUGUUCUGACGGUACCCAAAGAAUAAGCACCGGCUAACUUCGUG
rnacentral:rRNA from 1 species